rfam:TPA: Bos taurus chromosome 24, whole genome shotgun sequence.
UCCCUGAUAGCUCAGUUGGUAAAGAAUCUGCCUGCAAUGCAGGAGACCCUGGUUUGAUUCCUGGGUCGGGAA